rnacentral:rRNA from 1 species
UACGAAGGGGGCUAGCGUUGCUCGGAAUGACUGGGCGUAAAGGGCGCGUAGGCGGCCUGGCAAGUGGAAGGUGAAAUCCCUCGGCUUAACCGAGGAACUGCCCUCCAAACUGCUUGGCUUGAGUCCGGGAGAGGUGAGUGGAAUUCCCAGUGUAGCGGUGAAAUGCGUAGAUAUUGGGAGGAACACCAGUGGCGAAGGCGGCUCACUGGACCGGAACUGACGCUGAGGCGCGAAAGCGUGGGGAGCAAACGGG